rnacentral:lncRNA from 1 species
UUUAUCUUAUUUGUUAAUUAAACCCAAAUUAAAUGGCAUAGAGUAGGCCUUGGGUACCACUGCAGUAACUCCAUUUUUUUCUGUUUUUUUGUUAAAACAGUCAUUUGUCUCUGAACUCUGUAACGGCAGGGAACUCUGUAUUUCCUUUCCCCUUCCUGUCAGCACCUUGCCCAUGUAGUCAUGGUCUCUAUGUAAAGUUGUUCUCACAGAUGAGAACUGCCUCCAUUUGUGCCAAAGCCACAGGGUGACCCUGCCUGACUUUGUGACUGAGAUGAAGGAGCAAGCAUGCUGUCAAAGGGAAGAUAACACCAAUCUAGAAGGAAGUUACAAUACUGAAGACCACAGAAUCAAGAUUAAAAACUCUCGACAGGCUGCAGCCCUGGGUUGGAAACAAGGUAACUGCUUAGAAAUCCAUCUGUUGCCUAUUAAAGAAGACUGGAGGCUGUACGCAGUGGCUCACGCCUGUAAUCCCAGCACUUUGGGAGGCCGAGGCGGGUGGAUCACCUGAGGUCAGGAAUUCGAGACCAGCCUGACCAACAUGCAGAAACCCCGUCUCUACUAAAAAAAUAAAAUAAAAUUAGCCAGGCGUGGUGGCAGAUGCCUGUAAUCCCAGCUACUUGGGAGGCUGAGGCAGGAGAAUUGCUUCAACCUGGGAGGCAGAGGUUGUGGUGAGCCGAGAUUGCGCCACUGCACUCCAGCCUGGGCAACGAGUGAAACUCCGUCUCAAAAAAAAAAAAAAAAAAAGAAAAAAGAAAAAAGACUGGAAAGUAUAGUGGUAUAAAUCAAAAAGUAUCAGAGACAGAUCUCAAUCAACUUAGCAGUUUAUUUUGCCAAGGUUAAGGACAUGGCCGGAAGAAAGGAACACAGAUACCACAGAAACAGCAUGUGGUCGGGGCUUUUCUUCAAAGAUCACUUUGAAGCCUUCAGUAUUUAAAGGGGAAAAGCAGGCUGGAAGAGAAAGAGGGAGGAUGUGGUCACAUGACUGAAUCCACAUGUUGCAAGAGAAAAGGAGCAAGUAGGAGAACAGACAAUUAUGUAGUCGUCUCCCACUCAGUAAAUCAGCACUGAUCACUGAUAAGGUGAACAUAGAGUAGCUGACUGUGGAGACAUCCGGCCUUUUAUCUGUAGCUGUCUGCUUAGGAACAAAGAGAAAGGCAAUUUCUGGCCAUGACUCAGCUUUCAGCUUAAUGUUUUCCUUUUGGCAUCAUGAAACGGGGUCCUGAGAUUUUAUUUUCUUUCACGGUGGUUAAAUAAAUGGCCUUUAGAGUUUGAUAGAGUUGGGUCUGAUUAUCAACUUUAGCACUGUGUGCUGUAUGACAUUGUCUCUUCACAUCACUAAGUCUAUUUUCUUGUAGGUGAAAUAUGAAUAUUGACAAAGUUGGUAUGAGGAUUAAGUGAGAUAAUGCAUUUAAAGCACAUAGUCUCAACAAACAAUAGUUAUGACUGUUAUUAUGAUCAUUGUUACUAUUCUUGAACGGGCAGUGAAUACAUUGUGCUAACCCUGGACCUGCCAGAUAGGUGUCUUCUGCCUUUCAGAUUCAGGAUGUCUCCCGUAAAGCAAAACAAAAACCUAUCCUGACCUUCUUGGAUGAUUCAUAAACACUUGGUGAACAGUUUUUACUACACAUUUGUUCCCUGAUAGCCCCUUAGAAGUCUGUGGAACUGGCUGGGCGUGGUGGCUCAUGCAUGUAAUCUCAGCACUUUGAGAGGCAGAGGUGGGCGGAUAACUUGAGGUCAGGAGUUUGAGACCAGCCUGACCAACAUGGUGAAACCCCGUCUCAACUAAAAAUACAAAAAUUAGCCAGGCAUUGUGGUGGGGGUCUGUAAUCUCAGCUACUUGGGAGGCUGAGACAGGAGAAUUGCUUGAACCCAUGAGGCGGAGGUUGCAGUGAGUCGAGAUCGCGCCACUGCACUCCAGCCUGGGUGACAGAGUGAGACUCUGUCUCAAAAAAACAAAAAACAAAAAACAAAAAGAAAACUGUGGAAUAGUUGCCUGAGUCUUUGGGUGUGAGAUACUUAUGCAGCACAGCAGCUUCAAUACUGUGCUCUGAAAUCUCGGGUCUAGUUACUAUGGAAUGGAAAGCUGAGGACAGGGAGUAGAAGGAGAUUCUUCAGUAGUUUUUUGAACUCAACUUGUCCAUUCCAGCUAAACUUUAUUUCUUAUGCAACAUAAGUCUAUGAAGGCAAGAUUUUUCUUGGCAGCAUAAUUACUGCUACCUAAUAAGGGAAGAGAAUUUCCUUCUAAAGAUUCCUGCUGUUUUCUCAGCAGGUGGGAACUUUUGCACUCUGCAGCUGCUGGGUGCCAUUACUGUCCGUCCUGGGCUUGCUCUUUCCAUUCUGAGAUGGGAAUGGAAAAAUCCACAGGGAACAAUUGGGACUGUCCCGGAACUCUUGGACUUUGGGCUACUGUGUGCAUAACCUCGUGGAGGGUUCUGAGCAGCUCUGUCCAUCUACAUGUGAAGGAUCAAAGGGUGCCCCAGGUGUGUCCCUACUGACUCCAUAUAAGGCCCAGGGGAAGUUGUGCCCUGAAGAUAAAGGAAAUUAAGCUUCAGCACCCUUCAGUUGUCAGGGACUAGACCUUUCUAAGACACCAGGCAGAGGACCUAGCAAUGUGUGCAUAUGUUUCUUUUAUAAAUGGCAAAAAUAAGACAUUUUUCUAUUGUUUUCCAUUAAAGAUGGUCUCAAAAACUUUGUAAGUUUAGGCCCCACAAAUCUGUGUCCACCCUUGACAGGCUUCCUCUGGCUAUGCCUGAAGGAUUUUCCCUUUAUAUAACUAGAUAGUCAGCAGCCUCAACUCCAAGCCAGGGCACACUGGCAUGCCAGGGAUGGUGUGGGAAUGCAAGUAAAGAGGGGCAUUCACAACUCUGUUGGCUGCUGGAUGCAGAGAAAACCACAAGCUGGAUAAAGAGCAGCCUCUGGGGAAAAACAAGCUGUAGACCUGAGGUCCAGCAGCAAGAGUUCCUUCUUCAAACAGGUGGUUAGCAAGUGGCACCCAUCAGCUACCUGUUAAGUCUUUGAGAAAAAUUAACGACCUACUUUAUAAUUUAUACAAACAAAAAUACUGUCGCCUAUGUGCUGCGCCCCAGCCAUUCCCCAGCCCUGGUGCGGCUGUGUCCUGUAGUGGAGACAGCCCUGGAUAGGUUCCAGCCUUGGCUCCUCUGCUAGGUAGCUAAGUUAUGAAUGCUUAGCUUUGUUCAUCUUUAAAAUGAGUGUGUUGUAUUAGGCAGUCUCACUCUGAAACUUAAAUCAUUUUAUGGUAUGGGGGUAGAGUUUAUAUGAUUUCUGUAGAGAUACAAGAGUAGUGCUGUGGGAAAGUAUGACGCACCUGUUGGGAAGGAGGUUGACAUAUGGAGAAAAAUCAGACCAUAUGGGAUUAUGAAAUUUAAAAAAUUAUCUCCUCCUGCUCAGUAAACGUGCCAAAUAUAAGCCUAUCAUCCUAAGAACUGUCUUCCUUUUAACAAAUGAGAAGAAAUUAUGUGCAUUUCCAAAAUUAAAGGGAUAUUCACGUCAUGUUAAAUGUGUGACAUAUGUAGGCAACGACGAAGUUCUGAGAAGUAAGUUUGUGUUUACGGUAUGGCCUUUGUUAUUUAGGAGAUUACAAUUAAAACAGGACUAGCCCAGAUGAAACAAUUAACAAAGCUGAUGAGCUAUAACCAAAACCCAUGAUUAGUGAUGGGUUCAUUGAAUACAUUCUAGUACAUCUGUUCUAUGGAAUACCAUGCAAUCAAUCAUCAAGUAGAAUGAACCACAUUUAUAUGUAUUGACUUGGGAAGGUGUAGAAGACAUAUUAAGUAAACAUAAACAAGUGGUAAAUUAUAAUGAAAAAUAUGACCAUGUUUUUGUUAAAAGCAUAAAUGAGACCUCAACAGGUGAUUCAGUGCUUGUGUAAGCGUAGAAAAAAUAUGGAAUGAUAUAUACACCAGCAUGCUAAUACUGGUUACUUUAAGAGAGUAUAAUUGGACAGGGGAGGAGAAAAAAUAUAUACAUUAUAUAUA